GACGAACGCUGGCGGCGUGCCUAAUACAUGCAAGUCGAGCGCAGGAAACUGACGGAACUCUUCGGAGGGAAGGCAGCGGAAUGAGCGGCGGACGGGUGAGUAACACGUAAGGAACCUGCCUCAAGGAUUGGGAUAACUCCGAGAAAUCGGAGCUAAUACCGGAUAGUUCAUCGGACCGCAUGGUCCGUUGAUGAAAGGCGCUCCGGCGUCACCUUGAGCUGGCCUUGCGGUGCAUUAGCUAGUUGGUGGGGUAACGGCCCACCAAGGCGACGAUACAUAGCCGACCUGAGAGGGUGAUCGGCCACACUGGGACUGAGACACGGCCCAGACUCCUACGGGAGGCAGCAGUAGGGAAUCUUCCACAAUGGACGAAAGUCUGAUGGAGCAACGCCGCGUGAGUGAUGAAGGUUUUCGGAUCGUAAAACUCUGUUGUAAGGGAAGAACACGUACGAGAGGAAAUGCUCGUACCUUGACGGUACCUUACGAGAAAGCCACGGCUAACUACGUGCCAGCAGCCGCGGUAA
rnacentral:rRNA from 1 species